rnacentral:rRNA from 1 species
GUAAGCGACCUUACCGCAUAGAAAGCACCGGUUCUGAUCCGAUCACCCAAGUUAAAUUACAGCAGGCCGAGUUAGUACUUUGCAAGGGUGACCGGCUAGGAAUACCAGGUGUUGCUGACU